UUGUGAAACUGCACUAGCAUUUUUUUUAAUGUAAACAGGAAGUAGCAGAAAGCAGGAACUAUAACAUUUUAGAGUUUAUUCACUUAAAUAAAAGUCAGAUCAGUUGUACAAACAUGUUUUGGGAAUGUUUUCAGGAACCUUGUUAGUUAAACUGUAAAUGUGUACAUAAUAUGUCCUGUCUGUAUGUGUUUCAGUGUACUCCAUUCAAGGCAGAUGUUGUCAUGCAGACCAAAGACCUCUUCCUAUUCCCUUCUAAAGCCUCUAAAAUAAUGAAGCUGUGCUCCAACAUGAUCCAAUACAUGAAGCUUCAGCUGUAUCCUCCACAUUGUUCCUUCUUCUUCUUCUUCUUCUUCUUCUUCUUCUUCUUCUUCUUCUUCUUCUUCUACUCCUGCUUGAUUUCUUUACACACAGCUUCUGUUUUCAGGCUUGUUUCUGGUUGUGAAAUUCACCCAAACUGUGUCUCUCUUUCCGCUCAGGCUUGAUCUAACAGCAGCUCAGCAGCUCCAGGAGUCCACUGCCUGACGCCUGGAGCUGAAAUCCUCCGUCUGUGUGGAUCAGAGGAGGUUGUUGCUGCCGUGAACGUCUGAGUGGAAGAACAGAAGACAUGUGGGUGUCCGUGUGCCUCCCCCACCCCCGUCUGCCUCUGUGGAAUGAAUGGAGGAGGAGGAGGGUUCCUUCUCUGUCCGCCCUCCCCUCAACUCUGUGAGCCACUCCUCCACCGUGCGGUGCUGGAGGUCAGAAACCUGGCAGAAACUCUGCCUCGUCGGGCAGUGGAAGCUAUGACCCGUGGCCCGGAUCCUUCUCUCGCCGCAUUGCGUGCAGGUCCGGCUACGCCUGUUAGGGAAGACACCGGCUGCAGCAGAGGCCAUCUUUAUCUUCGCCCUCCACCCUGUGGUCUUUGGGACAUUGACCUUCAGCCACUGGUCCAGGGUCAGUCCAGAAGUUGCACGGCAGAAGGUCUUGCCUUGGAUGGAGAAGUGCUCAAUGACAGAGAUGUCCUUGGAGCAGCCAGGACAAACGCGUGAUCAAAGACCUGUGGAUCGCCCCGCCCUCCUGACCCCGAGAUGAGCCAUCAGGUGAACAAAGGAAAUCCUGCCUCCUGCCAGGACACCCUAACGAACGACUCUUUCACACCCACAGUCUCUGGACUGGUGUUCUUUUGUAUUUAUGCGUGUCAUCCUCUCAGCAGGGGUCUUGAGAAGGUGAUGGGCUGCAAUCUGCCCCCCCUCCACGACCUGCAGUUACCCUGCCACUUUAUAGACUGCAUUACAGUAAUGCACACAAUGUUCCUACUCCUUUCUGCACAUAUUGUGACUUCACAUUUCUUAGUUUAUAUGCAAACAUUCAUAGCAUUCUAUUUCCAUGUAAACGACUGCUUUAUUUAUCUUAUUGCUAUUUAACUGGAUUUUAUUAGGGUGUAAAAAAGAUGUUGUGUUUGAUAUUAGAUUUCUUGUUGAUGUAUGCACCAUGACAUCAAGUCAAAUUCCUAGUAUGUGUGAACCUACCUGGCAAUAAACCUGUUUCUGAUUCUUAUGUUACUAAUUACAUAUUUAUGUAUUAUGUGUAUUUUCAAUGCAGUGUUUUUAUCUGUAUUGUUCAAACUAUUUAAAAUAAAGUUUUCUAAAAAAGCCAAA